UAGUCCCGGGUAGCCUUAAACUUGCUGAAGUGGACCUUGAACUCCUGACAUCCCAUCUCUACCUCUUGAGAGCUGGUUUUGUGUGGUGCUGAGGAUGGAGUUCGGGGCUUCCGGAAUGGGUUGGCGGGCACACCACCUGCUGAGCCACACCCCCAGAAAGAGCUUCACUUGAAAAGGAUCUCUGGAAGCAAAUGUUCAGGAAGGUCAAGUGGUCAUCACCAUGAAUGUCCCCUCGGAAAAUCCAUCUCCGUGUCUGUGUUACAUGCAUGUGUUCUGUUCAGAACAUGCACUGUCUGUGACGGCACCCCACAAAUGCUGAUAAGAAGUGGGGGGUCUCGCCUUUCAGGAACAGGCAGUUUAGUUCACUCUGCCCCUUCUGUGAUGUCGGUGUGGGCUGCUCAGGGCUGUGGACACUAACCUGCGUUUAGGAAAUGGAUGAUGAAGAUAAGCCAUGAGGCUUCGGUUGAGUCACAACGGCUCCCUCUCCUCCUCAGCAAACACACACAGGUGUCAUCUCUACCCUUCGCAUGGCAUUCCGGCCUCAGGUCAGUAUGAGGCCAUUAAGUGGCUCCUCACCUAUCUUGUGCACCAGAGUCCAGAUCAUCGUUAAUUAAAAAAACCUCCCCAAACUUGAAAC